AUUGAACGCUGGCGGCAGGCCUAACACAUGCAAGUCGAACGAGUGGCGGACGGGUGAGUAAUGUCUGGGAAACUGCCCGAUGGCGGGGGAUAACUACUGGAAACGGUAGCUAAUACCGCAUACCAUCGGAUGUGCCCAGAUGGGAUGAGCUAGUAGGUGGGGUAACGGCGCACCUAGGCGAUGAUCCCUAGCUGGUCUGAGAGGAUGACCAGCCACACUGGACCUGAGACACGGUCCAGAGUCUUACGGGAGGCAGCGGGGGGGAAUAUUGCACAAUGGGCGCAAGCCUGAGGCAGCCAUGCGGCUUGUAGGAAGAAGGCCUUCGGGUUUUAAAGUACUGUCAGCGAGGAGGCGUUACUCGCAGAAGAAGCACCGGCUAACUCCGUGCCAGCAGCCGCGGUAAUUC
rnacentral:rRNA from 1 species